AGACACGGCCCAGACUCCUACGGGAGGCAGCAGUGGGGAAUAUUCCGCAAUGGGCAAAAGCCUGGCGGAGCAAUACCACGUGAGGGACGAAGGUCUGUGGAUUGUAAACCUCUUUUGUCAGGGACGAUAAUGACGGUACCUGACGAAUAAGCCUCGGCUAACUCCGUGCCAGCAGCCGCGGUAAGACGGAGGAGGCAAGCGUAAUCCGGAAUUAUUGGGCCCCAAGCGUACGCAGGUGGAUUGACAAGUCUUUUGUCAAAGACCAGGGCUCUACCUUGGGACCGCAGAGGAAACUGUUAAUCUAGAGUGCGGUAGGG
rnacentral:rRNA from 1 species